GCGGCGAGUGAAGCGGCAAAAGCUCAAAUUUGAAAUCUGGCACCUUCGGUGUCCGAGUUGUAAUUUGAAGAUUGUAACCUUGGGGUUGGCUCUUGUCUAUGUUUCUUGGAACAGGACGUCACAGAGGGUGAGAAUCCCGUGCGAUGAGAUGCCCAAUCCUAUGUAAGGUGCUUUCGAAGAGUCGAGUUGUUUGGGAAUGCAGCUCUAAGUGGGUGGUAAAUUCCAUCUAAAGCUAAAUAUUGGCGAGAGACCGAUAGCGAACAAGUACAGUGAUGGAAAGAUGAAAAGAACUUUGAAAAGAGAGUGAAAAAGUACGUGAAAUUGUUGAAAGGGAAGGGUUUGAGAUCAGACUCGAUAUUUUGUGAGCCUUGCCUUCGUGGCGGGGUGACCCGCAGCUUAUCGGGCCAGCAUCGGUUUGGGCGGUAGGAUAAUGGCGUAGGAAUGUGACUUUGCUUCGGUGAAGUGUUAUAGCCUGCGUUGAUGCUGCCUGCCUAGACCGAGGACUGCGAUUUUAUCAAGGAUGCUGGCAUAAUGAUCCCAAACCGCCCGUCU
rnacentral:rRNA from 1 species